GAUGAACGCUGGCGGCGUGCCUAAUACAUGCAAGUCGAGCGAACAGACGAGGAGCUUGCUCCUCUGACGUUAGCGGCGGACGGGUGAGUAACACGUGGAUAACCUACCUAUAAGACUGGGAUAACUUCGGGAAACCGGAGCUAAUACCGGAUAAUAUAUUGAACCGCAUGGUUCAAUAGUGAAAGACGGUUUUGCUGUCACUUAUAGAUGGAUCCGCGCCGCAUUAGCUAGUUGGUAAGGUAACGGCUUACCAAGGCAACGAUGCGUAGCCGACCUGAGAGGGUGGUCGGCCACACUGGAACUGAGACACGCUCCAGACUCCUACGGGAGGCAGCAGUAGGGAAUCUUACGCAAUGGGCGAAAGCCUGACGGAGCAACGCCGCGUGAGUGAUGAAGGUCUUCGGAUCGUAAAACUCUGUUAUUAGGGAAGAACAAAUGUGUAAGUAACUAUGCACGUCUUGACGGUACCUAAUCAGAAAGCCACGGCUAACUACGUG
rnacentral:rRNA from 1 species